UACGUUGAAAUCAAUUAUUUU
rnacentral:piRNA from 1 species